rnacentral:rRNA from 1 species
UACGUAGGGGGCAAGCGUUGUCCGGAAUCAUUGGGCGUAAAGAGCGUGUAGGCGGGUCUUUAAGUCAGGGGUGAAAUCCUGGAGCUCAACUCCAGAACUGCCUUUGAUACUGAGGAUCUUGAGUUCGGGAGAGGUGAGUGGAACUGCGAGUGUAGAGGUGAAAUUCGUAGAUAUUCGCAAGAACACCAGUGGCGAAGGCGGCUCACUGGCCCGAUACUGACGCUGAGGCACGAAAGCGUGGGGAGCAAACAGG